rnacentral:sRNA from 1 species
AAUAAGAAGAAGAAGAAGAUGACAUUU